AUGAAUCUAAUUCGGUCUUCUGUGCUGGUGGAAACACAUGUGCACGUCGAUCGUAAUUCCAUCCUCCUCCCAACCGUCCAUGUGUGUGUUUGGUCGACCUUCUGGUCGAAGAGUCGGUGCCCUCGGGCUUGAUUCGUUCCAGAUGCACCUUGGUUAUUUCACCCACUCUGGGUAUCAGAAACAAAGAACAAUUUAUAUAAACUAUA
rnacentral:misc_RNA from 1 species